AUACUUACCGAGCAGGGGAGACUCCAUGAUCGUGACGAUGGUUCUCCCAAGGCGAGACUCAGCCAUUGCACUCUUGACUUUGUUGACCCUUACGAAAUCCCCAAAUGUGGAAAUCUCGACUGUAGAAUUUAUGAUAGUGGGGGACUGCGAUCGCGCUCUCCCCUA